AGGGAGAACUUAAAAGUACUUGUAUGGGACUCUUUCGGGAGAUUAACUUGCUAUAAGGGCUACCUGNNNNNNNNNNCCCCCCCCCCCCCCAAGAGCGCCAACAUUCAUAAUGCAAUCCUGAUUUAGAUCAAAGUAUCAAACCGUUUUUUUCCCGGUGUUGUAGUUCAGUGUUUCAUUGAGCGUUAUAUUCGAAAUGUAAAUUUCCUGUGACCAAAAAUGACGAAAGUAAUUUAAUUAAACGAAAAUAACUUUCUGGAAUAAAGGGCUACUAAACCUGCACCCCUCUGGAAUAUCCACAGGUGCAUCUUGCAUAGAUCAUCAGCUUCAAUAUUGCAGAUAGAACGCAAAAUCUAUCACACUAAUUGUUUGCAUAAUUUCUAAUCUCCCACUUUUUUGUAUUUUUUUUAUUUCCCAACCCUACCACCCCUCCCCUGAUUGGAGCANNNNNNNNNNGCUUCCUGACUUCAGAAGGUCUCUUAGACUACGAGCAGCAACACAUUUGUGACAGAGAAAGAGUAGAGAGGCAGAAAGAAAAAGGCAGGCAGGAACAUACCCCCCCCCAACCCCCCACUCCAACACUCUCCAACCCCCGCCCACUCCUUCACCCACCCACUCACCCACCCGCCCACACAGACGGCGGGCUGGUUGGUGGCAGUGCAGCCUGACAGUGUUUGGCAGGUACUGUGUCAGGGUUCAGUCCUGGCUGGGCAGGAUCAUUCUCCUGCACUAAUUGAGUGAUCUCGGGGUCCCUCGGGUCCCUGCAGAGGUCCCUGCAUGCAUGGGGACAUGUCAUCAGGAGUAGGUUCACCCGCUCACUGCCCUGGGUGCAAAGUGACACCAGGCCUCUGGGCCAUGUCCAUGAACGGGAUGAGAGGGAAAUGCUUGAAGCAGGCUGUCAGGUACUAGGAUGAACAAUAACGUGUGCCAAGCGAGGGCCUUAUUUACAGGGUCUUUAUUUCUGAUAGAAGUAAAUCAUUAUUUAUAUUGCGGAAUGUUGUUUUCCAUCUUUUAAAACGCUGCCUCUAAAAUAUGACAGGUGUUUCAUCAAAGACAAUGGUUGCUGUGGUGUCACAGUCAACUCAGUAAGAUUGAGCAAUAGAUACAGAAAUGUCACAGAGUUUAUGCAAAUACUUCCUCUUUCAAUUGUCUUUUUGAUUAGACUCAUAAUUUAUACAAAUUAAUAUAUGCCAGACAGUCAUAAGUGUUUUUGUGUUAACAAAAUGGGAAUCUUAAUUUUUGUGUCGCUAAAAAUAAAUCAUGGCACGUUGCUAGGCAACAUAAUGACAUGACGCAGCGGGGAGUCAAAAAGGAACCUUUGGCUGGAAUUAGUCAAGAGGUGACAACUGAGUCCCAUUCAUAUUGGACAGUAUGUGCUUUCACCUCUUUUGC
rnacentral:lncRNA from 13 species